GGGUUCCCAUUGACUGGAUACCAAAAUGCCACUGACAUCUUGCUUGACUCACCUAUAGUGAACUGGGCAUCCUGCACGAGUCAGGUAUGUCGAGUUAUAUAAUAUCUUCAUUGUUAUAGAGCAUGCUCACAAUUCUUGCACAAUUAUCGAAUGAAAUAGCUGAUGUGGCAAUAGGACACUAAGAGAUCAAAAAAUCAAAUAUUCCUUGGACAGUAACGCCCAGUAGGUAUACUGUCAUGCAGAUAAAGAUGGUCUCAGUAAGUUCAGCGACAAAGAGAGGCCUCCAAUACACUUCAAAAGCUUUCAGCACAAGGCAAAUCAAACACUAGAGCUGCUGAGCAUUUUACAAAGUUGAAUGAGCCAGA
rnacentral:lncRNA from 1 species